GUGGAGCAUGUUGUUUAAUACGAAACCACGCGUAGAACCUUACCUCUCCUCGUAUGUCCAUGUAGUUUUUAACAAAGUGGAUACAGGCGUUGCAUGGCUGUCGUCAGUUCGUGUCGUAAGAUGUUAGGUUCAGUCCGCUAACGAACGCAAUCCAUGGUAGAAAUCAAUUCUUUCUACCGUCAAUUUGAUAAAAAUGACAAAAUGGAUUACGAUAAGUCGUCAUGACCCUUAUGGAGUAUGGGCUACAGACGUGCUACUAAAAUCUAACAAUAAGAGGCAAAGUCGAAAGACUGAGUAAAUCUAUAAAACAAGAUUUGAUAAGGAUUGUGGACUGAAAUUCGUCCAUAUGAAUCAGGAAUACCGAGUAAUCGUUUAUUAGUAC
rnacentral:rRNA from 14 species